UACGUAGGGGGCUAGCGUUGUCCGGAUUUAUUGGGCGUAAAGAGCGUGUAGGCGGCCAUGUAGGUCCGGUGUGAAAACUCGAGGCUUAACCUCGAGAUGUCAUCGGAAACCAUUUGGCUAGAGUCCGGAAGAGGAGAGUGGAAUUCCUGGUGUAGCGGUGAAAUUCGUAGAUAUUGGGAAGAACACCGAUGGCGAAGGCAGCCAUCUGGACCGACACUGACGCUGAGGCGCGAAAGCGUGGGGAGCAAACAGGG
rnacentral:rRNA from 1 species